rnacentral:misc_RNA from 1 species
GAUGAAGAACGCAGCAAAAUGCGAUAAGUAAUGUGAAUUGCAGAAUUCGGUGAAUCAUCGAAUCUUUGAACGCACAUUGCGCCCGCCAGUAUUCUGGCGGGCAUGCCUGUUCGAGCGUCAUUUCAACCCUCAAGCUCAGCUUGGUGUUGGGACUCGCGGUAACCCGCGUUCCCCAAAUCGAUUGGCGGUCACGUCGAGCUUCCAUAGCGUAGUAAUCAUACACCUCGUUACUGGUAAUCGUCGCGGCCACGCCGUAAAACCCCAACUUCUGAAUGUUGACCUCGGAUCAGGUAGGAAUACCCGCUGAACUUAAGCAUAUCAAUAAGCGGAGGA